rnacentral:lncRNA from 1 species
AAUGUUAUGUUAAUGUUAUGAGUGGGGCACGGCAGGAUCGCUGAGGCGAAGCCGGUGGGCGGGGAUUUGGGCGGAGCUUUGGGCGGAGCUUUGAGCGGAGCUUUGGGCGGGGCUUUGGGCGGAGCUUUGGGCGGGGCUUUGGGCGGAGCUUUGGGCGGGGCUUUGGGUGGGGCUUUGGGCGGGGCUUUAGGCGGAGCUUUGAGCUGAGCUUAAGUCAGGGUCGCGUCACGGCCAUGCCGGGCCUGAGUCGGGCGUGGUAAAGUGGGAAGGAACGAGCGCCAUGGAGUUGCCGGCUCCGCGUGGCAGCAGCGUGAUGUCGCUGGUCCCCGUCGUGGUGCUCUUGGCUCUGUGCCCGCUCCUCGCCCGGGCAGAUGUCCCCAAGGAUGUGAAGCUGGACACGCUGAUGAGUGUUUGUGUCAUGGUGGCCCCAUUCGUCAUGGUGGCCAUCGUGGUGGUCAUCGGCGUGGUGAUGCGUGCCCACUGCCAGGGCCACUGCUGGGGGGCACAAAGGGGGUGCUGGGGGCAAAAAGGGGGUUCUGGGGGCACAAAGGGGGUGCUGGGGGCACAAAGGGGGUGCUGAAGGAGAUAAAGGUGAUGCUGAAGGGGACAAAGGGGGGUGCUGGGGGGGACAAAGGGGGUGCUGGGGGGCACAGAGGGGUGCUGGGGGGAUAAAGG